rnacentral:rRNA from 1 species
GAUGAACGCUAGCGGCAGGCUUAAUACAUGCAAGUUGAGGGGCAGCAUGAUAUACGCGAGUAUAUUGAUGGCGACCGGCGGACGGGUGAGUAAUAGGUAGGAGACCUACCUCAUACAGGGGGAUAGCAUAGAGAAAUCUGUGGUAAUACCCCAUGAGGUUAUAUGAAUAGAGGCAUAUAAUCAAAGCAUAAGCGAUUAUGCGGUAUGAGAGGGGCCUACUGACCAUUAGCUAGUUGGUGAGGUAAGGGCUCACCAAGGCGAGGAUGGUUAGGGGUUUUGAGAGAGAGACCCCCCACAUUGGAACUGAGAGACGGUCCAGACUCCUACGGGAGGCAGCAGUAGGGAAUAUUGGGCAAUGGGCGAAAGCCUGACCCAGCCAUGCCGCGUGAAGGAAGACGGCCUUAUGGGUUGUAAAACUUCUUUACUAACGCGAAUAAGAGGUUAGUACGAGAUAACUAAUAGGAAGGUAGUGUAGUAAAAACGCAACCGGCUAAACUCCGUG